AGGAAAUCCGAACUCUCGCGAUACUUCCCUUUUUAACUACAGUCUUAAGUCCAAACAAACUAACCGCUAGCGGAAAAGUUGGCUAUGACACAAUUAACGCCUUUAAAAGUGAAAUAAUCAAAUCUAUAAUGGAGCUGUAAAGAGGAUGAAGCUGAGGAAGAACCUCCAUCUCCUGAUGAACCCAUCUAGAGACCAAACAUCUAGAGACGUCAGCUGGACGGAAAACUGCAGGGCAGAGAUGUGAUGUCAGGAAGCUUCCAUGGGAUGGCAGGUGACUUCUUACGCUGUCCUGAUUGUUCUCACUGAGAGACGGCGUCAUGGAUUCGCUGAGGAGAGGCUUCUCCAGCCUGCGGAUGCUCAUCGACAGCCACGCUCAGCAGCCACGCACGCAGGCUGCCGCAGAGCACGGCGAACACAACAACAACCUGGAACAUCAUGGAGUUUUAGGUCUGAUGGGAUCCAACAAGGUUCUCAGAGUGGAGCCCUUACCGGCACUACAGUGUCUCAGCUGCUUCUUAACGUUGAGUGUCGAGCUGUGGUUGCCACGGCGGCUAAAGUCAAAAUCCAUGUUUCCACCGUCGACUCUUACGAUGUCAGGAAGCACUGCAGCACUCAGAUAGCAAAGAGGUCAGAGGACGGCGCGUUUGGAGCUUCAAUGGACUGCUCUGUGGACUGCAGGCUGCAGAACCACGGCAGGAUGGAAGUCAGGGUUUACAGGGAAGACGAUUCCAGGGAGCACUGCACUAGAAGCUGCCUGGCCUUCACAUCCUUCUCCAUCAGAGAUCUUCUCAGGUCCAAGGAGCCUCACAGCUCCCUAAAGCUCAGGACGAUGGACGGAGGGAACGAGGUCGGGGAGGUGAGGGUGUCCCGUCUGCAGGUGGAGGAAGAGACGGAGGAGCACGCUUUGGAAAACAGGAGCUCAGUGUUGUGCGACGCUCUGCACGGCUCCGUCCAGGACAAAGAACACAGUCCGAUGAUGAGAGCCGCCCUGUGCUCGCAGGUGUGUAAGGUGUACAGGUUUCAGACGGAGGACCACAGGUGGCUGCUGGUCCGGGAACAGAUGUCAGAAACGCCGCUGUCCUUCUCUUUACCCAAACAGCUACUGAGCUCGCUCAUUAAGGAGCACACAGACAGAGUCCUGGAAGUGAAGGAGCUGAGUGACCUGUCGCCUCAUUGGGACGGCCUCCGCCAUGACAUCAUCGCUCACUGCAACCAGCUGAUCAGCUGCUAUCAGCAAACACAGACAGAGCUCGACAAACUCUCAACUUCGUCCUGCUUUAAGGCGAGCAGCAGCAAGUCUGACAGACACCUCCAGUUUAUCCCCACCAACCUGCACUCCCAGAGGAUGGAGGUGACCGGCCCUGACAGCUCAGGCGUUUGGUACGAGGUCAUCACCUUCGGAGCGCCGGCCGAUCACCACCAGGCUUUCAAACAUGGAGGACUGAAGAGGCUGAUCAGCAAACACACAGGCCACAAACACAGCUCUGUGUCGUACUCCAGAGAGCAGAGCUGCAGAGCCAGGGAGCUGCUGGUCAGCAUUGCCCAGCUGCAGCCUCUGAUCUUCGGCCUCGCCGAGGAGCUGCUCUCCGUCUCUGUGGAGGUCCAUCUGGGUCGACUGCAGGAGGUCCUGGAAAGCCUUAAAGAGCAGACCACGAUGUUUAUUCACGCCCUACAAGACGAGCUGGUGAGAAGCGCCCUGCUGGACAUCAACAACCGAUCCGCCUCUAAAGACGGAGGCAGCCAUGUUCACACCAAUGGAUUGGUCUGUGAGGUCUCCCACUCUGACCAGGAGGGGGGGCUGUCGCCUCGGCUGCAGGAUGGAGAGGAGUACAGCCAGGAGGAGUGGGACAGGACGUGGGCGAACGUCGGGAAGUGUCUGGACUGCAUCAUAGCCAUGGUGGAGCGGCUGCAGGGACGAGAGCGCCUUCUACGAGAACAAUCGUCUCCAGAGUCACAGGAAACUGCGGGGGACACAAAGUCUCAGAAUGCAGCCUCUCCUUCCUCCUUCUCCUCCUCCUCUGUGGGUUCUUGGCAGGAGCAGCUGCUCCCCCUGGUGGUCACUCUUAGAGACUGUGUAAGGGAGGCAGUAUCGAAGGCGCGAGCUGCCAUGACCUUUGUUGUCCUGCAGGGGGCAGUGGCUGCGACUGUCGCUCAGGGUCCCACGUUAAUUGUGCAGCGGCGCCACGCCGUCUUCAGUCAGGGGCUGUCAGCGGUGGUUUGUGGUUUCAUGCUGAAGCUUUUCGGAGGUCUGGAGGAUCCAGAGUUCCUGCAGCAGCUCCACUCUGUGGGAAUCCUGGUGCAGUUUGAAGGCCUGCUGAGCACCUAUGGCGAGGAGGUGGGGAUGUUGGAGGACAUGGAGGUGGGCGUGGCUGACCUCGGCGGCAUGGCGUUCACCAUCACUGAGGCCAAAUCAGAGCAGAUAGACGACCUGCUGCCGACGCUCAGUGGAUCAUGGGGCAGUUUUGUCGUAGAAGUGCCGCUGCCCUCUGAAACCUUCAGAUCACUACCUCAGGAACUACAAGCGGGUUGUUUGAUCCGAGUGGAGCCGGUUCUGUUUAACAUCGGGAUCAACCAGCAUCAGAGUCUGGCUGAAAGGUUUGGAGACAGUUCGCUGCAGGAACGAGUGAAUCAGCAGAGCUGUGAACGUCUCAAAGCUUAUUGUAACAGGCUGAGAGAAAAACUUCCUCAUAUGGCUGGUAUCCAGUCACUAUUAGACCUGCUGACGUCUCUUGAUCGCAGCAUGGAGGCAAAGAAGAGGAAAAACGUGGAAGUUUUAUGGAUCACAGCUUCAUUGUGUCGAAAAGUGAACGGCGUGCGGCUGACCAGCUGUAAGAGCGCGAAGGAUCGAACGGCGAUGUCUGUGACGCUGGAGCAGUGUAUGAUACUUAAGGAGCAACACGCGCUCAGUCAGCAGAAUUUCAGCUCUGCUCUGGACAGCAUGAGGAGGUCCCGUCUGUCCUGGGGGCAGAUGCUGGGCUGUUAUGCCCACUCAGGGUUCUCUGUCUCUGGGUUGGAUCCCACAGAGUGUCCCUCAGGUCUCCAGAGCUCCUGGCUUCAGCUGCUUUUAGCUUCCAGAAGACAUUUCUACCCGGUGGCCUUCCUGCUGGUGACCUCUCACCUCCUGGUGCUCUGGCUCAUAUUCAGCUUGGUGAUCCUGCUGGCUAAAUACCAGUAAUCAACCUCAGACUGGGAGCACUGGAAUGCACAGAUUAGAAAUGUUCUCUCAGGGACGGCUGCAGGACGGAGAACGUCCAGAAGAACAUCGGCAGCAGGAAGUACGCCUUCAGCAGCGUCCAGCUCCUCACCUUCCCCAAACUCUACAGACCUCCAGAUGGCAGCUACGGAUAGACACACACUCUGUCU